UUUAUUGGAGAGUUUGAUCCUGGCUCAGGAUGAACGCUGGCGGCGUGCCUAAUACAUGCAAGUCGAGCGAAUGAAUUAAGAGCUUGCUCUUAUGAAGUUAGCGGCGGACGGGUGAGUAACACGUGGGUAACCUGCCCAUAAGACUGGGAUAACUCCGGGAAACCGGGGCUAAUACCGGAUAACAUUUUGAACUGCAUGGUUCGAAAUUGAAAGGCGGCUUCGGCUGUCACUUAUGGAUGGACCCGCGUCGCAUUAGCUAGUUGGUGAGGUAACGGCUCACCAAGGCAA
rnacentral:rRNA from 1 species